AGGAAAAUGUCCCAUGGUUCUGAUCAGAUGAGUCGGGUCAAUUCCUUUAAUUAACAUCAGUUUCUCUGGAAAACUUAGGAAGAAUAUAGAAAACUGCUGUAAUCCAUGAUGAAGAGAACCACAUCUGGUUUGGGAAUAAAACAUUUUGUGAAAUUAAAAAAAAAAAAAAAUUACGAUGUGGAAGGUUGAGGCAUGAGAACCAAAAAAACAAGGCUAGCCUCGACACUUCAUGAAAACCCUGAGUCAGAAUAAAGUGUGUGGGCAGGAAUUGGGUGAGGCCGGGAGAUGGCCCAGUGUUUAAGAGCACACACCAGCCUUGCAGGGAACCCAGUUUAGUUCCCAGCACCUGCAUCAGACAGCUCACAACUGCCUGUAACUACACAUGUGCUUGCACGCACGCACGCACACACACACACACACACACACACACACACACACACACACUAAAAUAAAAGAUAUAUUUUUAAAAAGAACUCUUUUAAAACUAUUUGUGAAAAGAGCAGGGGUGUAGUUUGAUAUAUAGGGCUUGCUAGCAUGUAUGUGAGGGCCUCUCCAGCGUCUCACACACACAUACACACACAUAAAUUCUAGUCUCAACUGUUAUUAAAAUGGCCCUUGAGCCUGCAUACGUCAUUUUUUGACACUGGAGAGUUCUCCCUUUUUCCUCACUCACAUCUAUGAUAGACUCUUUCAUAGAACCAAACCUCACCGAAAGAACAUUUUGUAUCUAGAAAGAGUCUUUUUUGGCAGGAGUAGAUGGCCAUUAUAUUGUAAAACAGAACAAUAAAAACACCCACCAGUUAGGUCCAUUUUAAUUCAUGGAAAAUAAAUCUUCCAGCUUACCAGCUCUGACUUAAAAUGUUAGUUUUAAAAGGUCAUGUUGUAUUUGGGUUUAAUAUACUGAAAUAUUUCUAAGAAUUGUAGAAUUUCCAAAAGAUGAAAUUUUCAUUAAAGCAGUUUAAGGAGGUGAUGCAUAUAUUAUUUUCACUUUACACUACAGAAAAGGAAACUUGAUAGAGAAUUAUAGAUAACAAAAUAGUCAUUUAUUUCAAGGUCGUGUCAUUCAGAUUUAGUUUUCCACAGAUUUCUGUUGACUAAGCAAACAUUCCAUUUUCCAUCUAGCUUCUUGGCGUAAUAAAAAUAGUUUAUUAGAAUGCAUGGGUGAUGUUUAAGAUUCCUAGAACAGAUUUCUUUCACAUAAAAACUUAAAUGAUCACUGGGUGGUAGUGGUACCUGCCUUCAAUCCCAGUACUUACCAGUAUUAAAUAUGAUGAAUCUAAUUUUUGCUAGUUAAGUGGUCUUACCUUUUGAUUUAAUUUGCAUUUCUUUGAAAAUGAGCCAUCUGAAAGCCAAAUAUGAUGGUACACACCUUUAAUCUCAGUUUGAGGCCAGUUUGGUCUACAGAGUGAGUUCCAAGACAGCCAGGACUAUACAGAGAAAUCCUGUCUUGAAACACUACUACCACCACCAAAAUAAAAGGAAAAACUUACAUGACCAUGUUGAAGAAUCUUAAACAUCACCUCUUCAUUCUCUUUCUCCUUCUACAUGUUUGUUAGAACCAUCUGUUUUAUUUUGUCUCAUCUUUAUUUUUUAUUUAUUUAUUUAUUUUUGUUGUUGUUGUUGUUGUUUUCCAUUUCAUUCCUUUAGGGAUCGUCCGUGUAGAACAAAAGAAUAACACUUUUUUUGACAUGAACAUCUUUGAAGAUGGGCCCUAUGAAGUUGGUGGAGAGACUGAUCAUGAUGAAAGUCUCGUGCCCGUUCCUGCUAACAGUUACCUAGGUAGGAGCCAGCAGAGGCACCACACCUGUCUCCUCAGACACUGGGUGACUCUCCACCUGAGGACCCAGAGCUGGGACUAGGUCUGGUGGGAGCCGGGGCCUUGCUGUGUUUGCUGUGUUUGCUUCAGCUUCACCUCUGUGCUCGUGGGAAGGCAGGCUGCCUGCUGACUGACUCCUCUGGCCUGAGCUUCCACAAAGUGGGGUGGAAUCUGCCAUCACCUCCAAAUCAUGCUUCCUCCCAUUUGGAAGGGAGCUACGUUUCCUGAGCUGAUGGUAGCCUGUGUAGACUGCAGCAGGACCAUCGUGAAGCCAUGAGGAAAUGUCUGGGUGUUCAGAGUAGGCUGAGGGGUCCUUCCUCUGCCUUCAGGGCCAUUUUUAGACAAACACUUAAGAGCUCCACUCACAAAGUUACUUUUAAGUGGCAGGUCAGGGCUUCCAGAUCCUUCCUUGGUGAUUGCUGUUCUCAAAGGCCUGGCCCUGCGACUGGAUUGAGCUCCAUGUCAGAGGGCCCUGUGGGUGGCACAGGGCGUCCCAGAGGAGGCCAACUAGGACCUGCUAACGCAGCUUGGAGAACACCCAGAUUGUGUCUAAGUGCCAAUUCCUUAACUCCUGAGGCUUGUUUGCAUUACUAAUGGUGUCCUAAAUUAUUCCUGCACAUUAUGGUAAUUACACAAAGGCUUUUAAAAGCUUUAAUUCUUGGUGUGAGUUGACAUAAAGAAUAAUUACUGUACAUUUCUUGGAAAAAUGUAAAAAAUCUUCUAGAGCUACAUAGUAACCUAUUUUUAAAAAGUGAUGGGCAGGGGAAUACACAUAUUCUAGAGAUAUUACUGGAACAAUGGAAGGUUUAAUAAAAAGGGAGAAAAAGCUGCUCUGAAUAAGUAAAUACAUCUAAACAGUAUGCUACAGUAAACAUACAUGUAAGUAAAUCUAAUUGUAUAAAUACACAUGAGCAGUAGUAUUUAUG
rnacentral:lncRNA from 1 species